rnacentral:lncRNA from 1 species
UUUUUGCUGCAUUUGCAUGAGGUUAGGGCUUGCAUGAAAGAGACGGAUACGUGUCACGCUUCGUGCCCAUCAGCUCGCAUGCGCUGCUUCUUAUCUGGUCCGUCCAAGCCAUUUUUGUCCUGUAGCAUUUAAAAUCUAGCAUGACCGGUUGAGCAAUGUCACAUGUUUAUUUUAAAUGAACAUUUUAUUUUGGUCACACGCUGAAUAUCAUUUGGAUCGUGGGCUUCCAGCGCUUGCUCUUUCCACCUCCACGCUUGGCCCACUAACACACUUCCAUCCUAUUUUCAUUUUCUCUUUUUAAUUUCAUUUUUAUUUUCUGC